GGUCCGAUGGUGUAGUGGUUAUCACGUCUGCUUUACACGCAGAAGGUCCCCGGUUCGAACCCGGGUCGGACCA
rfam:Clonorchis sinensis DNA, scaffold: 977, strain: Henan.